rnacentral:rRNA from 1 species
UACGUAGGGGGCAAGCGUUGUCCGGAUUUAUUGGGCGUAAAGAGCGUGUAGGCGGCUAGGUAGGUCCGUUGUGAAAACUCGAGGCUCAACCUCGAGACGCCGAUGGAAACCAUCUGGCUAGAGUCCGGAAGAGGAGAGUGGAAUUCCUGGUGUAGCGGUGGAAUGCGCAGAUAUCAGGAGGAACACCUAUAGCGAAGGCAGCUUGCUGGGACGUUACUGACGCUAAGGCGCGAAAGCGUGGGGAGCGAACAGG